rnacentral:rRNA from 1 species
GAUGAACGCUGGCGGCGUGCCUAAUACAUGCAAGUCGAGCGAACAGACGAGGAGCUUGCUCCUCUGACGUUAGCGGCGGACGGGUGAGUAACACGUGGAUAACCUACCUAUAAGGCUGGGAUAACUUCGGGAAACCGGAGCUAAUACCGGAUAAUAUAUUGAACCGCAUGGUUCAAUAGUGAAAGACGGUUUUGCUGUCACUUAUAGAUGGAUCCGCGCCGCAUUAGCUAGUUGGUAAGGUAACGGCUUACCAAGGCAACGAUGCGUAGCCGACCUGAGAGGGUGAUCGGCCACACUGGAACUGAGACACGGUCCGGACUCCUACGGGAGGCAGCAGUAGGGAAUCUUCCGCAAUGGGCGAAAGCCUGACGGAGCAACGCCGCGUGAGUGAUGAAGGUCUUCGGAUCGUAAAACUCUGUUAUUAGGGAAGAACAAAUGUGUAAGUAACUAUGCACGUCUUGACGGUACCUAAUCAGAAAGCCACGGCUAACUACGUG